rnacentral:ncRNA from 2 species
AUGAACCAUUCAGGAGAAGGUCUAUUGAUCUACCGACGGGGCAAAAAGUUGUUAACCGACUUUGAAACUCUCAGGUCUUGUUUACAAGUAGAACUGCAUGG